AGGCACCCUAUGACUGCAACUGCAUGAGGACUCUUAACACAAACCACCCAGCUGAGCCCAGUCAAUACAAAACAUAACCAGGAGAAAUAAUCAUAAGUUGUUUCUUCAAGCCACUAAGUUUUGGAGUAGAAUGUUUAACUGAAACAGCUCUUCACAGACCUGCAGGCACCUGAACCCCCUGGUUCUCCUGCCUGAGACCCUACACUUUGAACAGCUUCAUCUUCUUCCUAGUGUGGCCUUCUCUCUCAUCCUGUCCCUUGGUAUCAUCAUUCCCUACUUUCUGCUGUUAAUAAGCCCAGGGUCACUCUCAAUUUAAGGCUUUUCCUACAGGUUCCCUACAGGGACGAAGAUGAGACAACAGAGCGACAAACACAGGAAAGUGACUUCAGGUGGGGCUCUGCACAUGCCAUUCUUAGCCUGAGGUGGUGACUUCCUCUUUAGAGGACACCAGGAGAAGCGCCUGAAGAUUUGCAAACCAAACUCUGAGUUCUUUCUGAUCUUCACCCCCUAAAUCCUUGCCCCAGAGCCAUAUAUUUGGGCAAUGUGGGUGAGAUCCUGUGAAGCUUUGUCGGGAGGUCACGAGCUUUCUAGCCUCCCAUGUCCAUCUUCUAGCCAGGGGACCACAGUGCUUGUCCCCUCUGCCACAUUGUCUCACCUUUGACCUUCACUGCCCUGUCCCAGGCCAAUGGACAAAAUGAUGCCAUUCAGAGGAAGGACUCUGCCAGUGAGCUUUCUGGCUCCAACAUCUGUGAAAGAGCCACAGCUCCCAGGGCUUAUCAGCCACUUUCAGUGUGAGCAUGCCUGUCAAACAUCCCAGGCACAGGAGGCGCUAGGCUGAAAGGAGUGACAAGAUGCGGGAGUGGAAGGACCGUGACCCUGGGGACCCCAAAUGGAGCAAAUGGCUUCCUAAAGCCCCAGCUUUUGCAUCUGUAAUGAGCAGUGACAGCUCCCACCUCAUGAGAAUGCCGUGGGGUUAAUGAAGCUGGGUGACCAGCUAUUCCAGUUUGAGUGUCCCAGAAAACUCCUCCAUUGUUGACAAACUGAGAAGCUGACUCUCCCACUGGAGGCACCAGGUACAAGGUAGGUGCUCAGGAAUUAUUUCCCUCCCUCUUGACUCACACUUCUCUUCUGAGAGUGAAAGUUGGAGUAUUCUUCAAGCAAGAAGCUGAGACAGCCCUUCACGUACCCUGGGGAGGGGAAGAGAGCAGGGCCUUUGGAUUUAGAGGUCCCUCUGGAGCCUGGAAUAGACAGACUUGCAUUUCAGAGGAAACUUCCCAUGGCAUCGCCCCAGGAUCAUCAAAAGGAAUCAGCUUCUGGCACUAGCUGUGUCUCUGAGAAAAUGUCUGGAUUCCUUUGGAAGGUGCCAGGGAGCAGUGAGGGAUCAUGGGCGUGGGACUCUAACUGCAUCGCCAUCUCAGCUGCUGGCCCCACAUGCUCCAAGCCCACCUUUCUGCCACUUGCAGCCAAGUGCAGCACCAGAACCCACACCCACCCUCUGUGUGGCCACAGCCCCGGGUGUCCAUGAAGCCAGAAUGUCUUUGGAAAAUGGGAACCUUUGGGAAGUACACAGUCAUUGUCUAGAAGUCCAGUGGCUGUUCUGACAGGCAUCUCCCCAUUAGAUAAAUUCCCCCAUUGAGCGACUGACUUUUGGUGGAGUUAACCACCUGUGUUCCAUGAAAGGAGAGUAAGCCUGUCCCUUUCCAGAAAUGCAGAAACCUAAGGAGUUGAGAUCUCGGCUUCCAUGGAGGAAAUGCCUCAGGGGCAGCUGAGGGAGGGCCAUUACCAUUUGCAGUUGAGAAGGUCUGGAAGCCCCGCCACACAUGCAAAGCCCUGCCAUGGAAAUCUUGAGUGUCCCUGAACAACCACAACCAGUGGGGGGCUUCUUUGUGUCUGUGAGAAUGUUAUAACCUAUUGAGGCUCUCUUUUGCUGCCAGAAGUUCAGGGUGAACUCCGGGGCUCAAUUAUAGCAUCUAUGUUGGUCUUUGCAGUGGAUGGAUAUGUGUCUUAUUUACCUAGCCUUGCUUCUCCACUUUUACUUUCUGUUUUCCUUGGUCUGGUUUGUUAUUUUUGUGGCAUCAUAAUGGACAUGUCUUUGUUAGAAGAUGGUGGGGAGUAGAAGAAAGCCAUACUUUCUCAUCUCUGAAAUGCUCAAUUAUGGUGGGUGUUGCUUGUGCCCAAACAAGCUUGUUGUUCUAAGUCCUGCACUGGAGAAACCCAGUUCUACCAGCAUCCAGGGUACUGGGAGCAUCAAACCUCA
rnacentral:lncRNA from 10 species